UAGGCGCUACCCGAAAAGCCUGUAAUAGAGUAGGGA
rnacentral:ncRNA from 1 species